ACGGAGGGUGCGAGCGUUAAUCGGAAUUACUGGGCGUAAAGCGUGCGUAGGUGGUUUCUUAAGUCUGCUGUGAAAGCCCUGGGCUCAACCUGGGAAUGGCGGUGGAUACUGAGGAGCUAGAGUGCGGUAGAGGAGGGUGGAAUUCCCGGUGUAGCGGUGAAAUGCGUAGAGAUCGGGAGGAACAUCAGUGGCGAAGGCGGCCCUCUGGACCAGCACUGACGCUGAGGCACGAAAGCGUGGGGAGCAAACAGGA
rnacentral:rRNA from 1 species